GGCAACCCUCUGGGGUCCCCUUGCACGCUGUGGAAGCUUUAUUGUUUCACUCUUUGCAAUAAAUCUUGCUGCUGCUCACUCUUUGGGUCCACACUGCCUUUAUGAGCUGUAACACUCACGAUGAAGUUCUGCAGCUUCACUCCUGAAGCCAGCGACACCACAAACCCACCAGGAGGAAGGAACAACUCCAGAUGCACCUCCUUAAGAGCUGUGACACUCACCGCGAAGGUCCGCAGCUUCACUCCUGAGCCGGCGAGACCACGAACCCCACCAGAAGGAAGAAACUCUGAACACCUCCGAACAUCAGAAGGAACAAACUCUGGACACGCUGCCUUUAGGAACUGUAACACUCACCGCGAGGGUCCCCGGCUUCAUUCUUGAAGUCAGUGAGACCAAAAUCCCACCAAUUCUGGACACACUAGGAAGACUGAGACCCAAUUGGACCAUCAAAGAACGACCCAAUCACCAGCACAAAGCUAAUAAACUUGUAAGCUUUCAAUACAAAUAACGUUGGAACAUAGCUAGGAAGACUUCAGGAGACAGAUUCUCUUUGCAGAGUCUCUGGGAGCCUUUCUCUCUACCAUGUGGAUGCCUGCAGAAGCCUGCACAGUCAUUCUGCCACAUGCACUGUGGAUACACAGCUGAUUUACAGCUGGGCUGAAAAAGCCUCAUCUCUGUUUCUGGGGAUUCCAGGAUAUCCUGUUUUUGACUCUUAGCUAAGUUCUAUCCCAAGCAGCCAUAAUGUGUAAGGCAACGGGACAACAGACAGCAUCCAGCAGGGAUUCCUAAGAAAAGACAAAGCUGAAAUGGGAGUCUGAAUGACUUUUCUAGAUCUACUUAUUUAAAACUUAGGAGAUCAUAACAUAUUAAGACGGAAAAAGUGAUGCUCACGCCAGAGAAGAGUCAGCCCAAGGUCAUCUAGGAUCAGUGGCACACCUAGGAUUCAGGCCCAAGGACCCCCAGCUGACCUGCCUUCCCUGGAACCUCACUGUGAGUUCUUUAACCAUGGCUGUGUUUUCAAAGUUGAACUGGGGCUGCUGUUGAUACCACCUUUAAAUGCCUGCUUUUGUCAUGGAGACCAUGAGAACUUCACUCUUCAGCUGGCAAUUUACCUGGCUGCACAGUGCUCAGGCACACACAGGCUUCAGGGCUACAAGGUAAAGGAUUUGCCAAGGCCAAGUGCUGAAACCCACUUCUUGUUUUGAAGCAAAUGAGAACUUCCACCUGUAUUUGACCUGGGUAUGUAUAUUAAUUAGUUUGGCAACUGAGAUUUUUUUCUUGAUGAUCAAAAGUCCUAACUGGCAGUUAAAUAUGUCUUUUUUUUUUUUUUUUUUGAGACAGAGUUUCCCUCUUGUCACUCAGACUGGAGUGCAAUGGCACAAUCGAGGCUCACUGCAACCUCUUUCUCCCCAGUUCAAGCAAUUCUCCUGUUUCAGCCUCCCAAGUAGCUGGGAUCACAGGUGUCUGCCACCACACCUGGCUAAUUUUGUAUUUUUUAGUAGAGACAGGUUUUCACCAUGUUGGCUAGAUUGGUCCUGAACUCCUGACCUCAGGUAAUCCACCCGCCUCGGCCUCCCAAAGUUCUGGGAUUACAGGUGUGAGCCGCUGCCCCUGGUCAAAUAUGUCUUUUUAAAAAAAUAAUAAUAAUGACUUUUAAAUACAAGUGACCUGAGUAUGCAAAGUAUUUCUAGACUCAGGGUUCUUAAAGUGAGGAAAAAUUAGCAAAAGCAUUAUUUGACAGCCCCUAGAAUAGGCCAAAUAUGAAAUAACUAACAAAUUGCAGAUAGUAGUGUGCUCUACAAAGAAAAAGAGAGCAAGACAAUGGAUUACAGAAAAGAUGAAGUUUAUUUUAGAUGGAGUAUUAAGUGACAGAUUCUAUGAGGAGGUGAAAAUUGACCAGACAACUGAAAGAAGUAAAACAGCCAUACUAGUAUCUCAGGAAAAAUUAUCGCAGGAAAAAAAGAGGAAAAAUAAAAUGACUCUAUGUCGGAGGGAGUUUGGGCUGGCAUGGUGGCUCAUGCCUUUAAUCCCAGCACUUUGGGAGGGCGAGGUGGGUGGAUCACUUGAGGUCAGGAGUUCGAGACCAGCCUGCUGAACAUAGUGAAACCCGUCUCUACUAAAAAUACAAAAAUUAGCCUGGUGUGGUGGUGGGUGCCUGCAAUCUCAGCUACUCAGGAGGCUGAAGCAGGAGAAUUGCUGGAACCUGGGAGGUGGAGGUUGCAGUGAGCCUAGAUCAUGCCACUGCACUCCAGCCUGGGUGACAGAGUGAGACUCCACAAAAAAAAAAAAAAAAGGGGGGGGUGGGUGGGGAGGAGGGUUUGGCAUGUUUAAUGGAAAAGGUCUGUGUGUGACCAGAAUAGAUGGAAUGCAGAGAAGCAAAAUAUAGAUUUUAAUUUCCAUGGUUCUUUACUGAAGAGUGUUUCUUAUUUAAGUAACAACGCUAUGAUUAAAUUGAUUGUGAAAGAAUUACAAAUCUAGAAUUUAUUGCAUGAUCAGAUAGGAGAACAGAUUUGAUUUGCUAACUCUGUAUAAUAUACUACAGUGUAAGCCACCCUCUAUUACUUUAGCAAAAGAUGUUUUUUUCAUUUUCCUGCAAGUAUAUUUUUUCUCUAAAACCUUAAUUAGCAUUUUUUAAUAUUGCUGAAAGAUGGGGAUAUAAGUUCCAUUUAUUUCUUGAAACUGAAUAUAAUUAUCAAAUAUUGAAAAAUAAUAAUGGGCAUCAUUAUAAUUACUGUUAAGUAGUUUUCCUGUGUAGAGAGAAUUAUAAAAAUAUCCUUCAUUAUCUUUCAUGGAUAAAUGAUGUUUUUCUCAUGAGCCAGAGAAAAAUUAUCACAAUGUCUGCCCAGGUGUUUCUGUUAUGCUUACAGAAGUGAGUAGUGCUAUUUGCAGACACUGUACUUUCUCUCUUUUUCAUAUGAGUACAUUAAUCAAUUGUGGAGUUGUGGCAUCUGCUGUAAAACAAUUUGUUUUUCCAUUAUUUGAUGGCUACACUUUUUCUUUUAGUUUUUUUCUCUUCUUAUUGAAUCACAUUUUCUUUCCUCUUCUUUUAAAAAUAUUGCUGUAUUGAUUUACAAAAAAUAUAUAUUUUAUUGCCUCAUUUUAAUUUUUGGUAAUCCAUGUACUGCUUUAUUAAGGCCUAUAUAACUCAUAAUCCAACUCAUCGAUUAAAAGUUCAGGAAACCAAAGAGAUGGCUUUUUCUCCAAUUGAAGAUAUCAUAAUGAUAAUUUUGGGGGCUGGUGAAAACUGAGAUUGUCAGAAGGCUAAUUUUUUCUUAGAUGUCAUUUUUGUUGGUCACAAACUAGAGAUGAAGCUCUCUACAGGCAAGUAUAGAACCAUCUCUCUGUGCAACAAUUUGUAUUUUCAGACCACUUUUAGUCUUUGGGGGUAGAUACAAUUACUUAGAAAAAUCUUCAAUGUCUCUUUGGAAAACAGUUGAUCUCGAACUCAGUUCUAAAGCUGAGUCAGCAUCACAGGAUUUCAGAUUCUUGAAUGUUAUUUUUGUUGUCUUUCUCUUACUAAAUUGUUAUCACUGAAUAUUUCUCCUUUGUUUUACUCCAUUUGGACUGCUAUAACAAAAUACCAUAGACUGAGUAGCUUAUAAUACAGAAUUCACAUCUCACAGUUCUGAGGCUGGGAAGUUCAGCAUCAAGGUGCCAGCAGGUUCAGUGUCUUGUGAGGGCCUGUUUUCGGUUUCAUGGAGGGCCCCUUCUCACUGCAUCUUUACGUGGUACAAGUGGCAAGUCAGCUCUCUGGGGCCUCUUUUAUAAGAACACUUAUAGGAAUAUUGAAUUAGUGAACGAGCUCUGUUCUCGUGAAUUAAUCAUCUCCCAAAAGGCCCUAUCUCCUAACCCAUUUAUGCUGGAGGUUGCAAUUUUUGUGUGUGAAAAAUCAGACCUUGGCAAUGACCUUGAGCAGUAGGAUAUAAAUAACUCCCACAAGCUUAGCAUUCCAAUAAGGGAACACUAGGCAUAAAUGGGCUUAAUACCCUCAUCUUAGGGGAAAGGAUUUCAAUAUGUGAAUUUUGUGAAACACAAACAUUCAGACGGCAGCAUCUUUGCUUUCUUAAAAAGUUAAAUGAAACAAGUUCCCAAAUUUAAACAAGCAGAAAUAUGUAUACAGAUAAGGGUAGAGGAAUAGUUUAAAAUUAUUUUAAUUAGAUAUUUGAAGUCCUCAGUACGCUACAUUUAUAAAAAAGAAAUGGUAUAUGUGACAGGGAGCAAAAUAAAACCCUGUGUCAUAAAAAGAAUCCACUAUCAAUUAUUUAAAAAGAUCUUAGCAAGGAAAUAUCAGCUUCGAUAUUACAAACUUUUCAGAUGUGAAAAAUGAUUUAUUUUCAAAUAUAGUUCAAAUGAAGUUUUGCCUUAACAAAAUGGCUUUUCUAAAGGCCACCUUUAGAUCAAAAUACUUAAUCUAACUUGUGCCACUUCUUGGUAACCCUUGGUAACCCCUAAAUUGUUUUCUCUAUUUUCUCCAACUACUCUACUAAAAAGUUUCUUCCUAUUUCUCCACAUGGCUUCAAAAAAGGGAACAUAAAAGAGAAAUACCAGUCAGUGAUAAUCAUGUGGAAAAAAAUAAUAAUGUGAAGCAAUUUUUGUUUGUUUGUUUGUUUGUUUGUUUUCUCUCGAGGUCAUGAUCUGGUACUUUUUUACAGCAAACUCAUACUUAACAAAUUUUAAAGAUUUUUUAAAGAAUGAACUAAUGAAUUGGGUUAGGUAAGUUUAUCUUAACCAUUCUUAUGUCCUUUAAUUUUCUGCACUUUGCUAGUAUUUUACUUUUAGAAUCCGUAGUCAGCUUGAAUCAUAUUAAUUUUCUGACAACUGAAUAAAAAAUAUUUCAAUAUUUCAUGCAUCUUGUUUAUUUGUUUGUUUUGGUAGUUUUUUUUAAGAAAGUGAAAGUAGUUUAAUUUAGAGAGAAGCCAUGGAAACCGGGAAACAAAAAUGAGAUUGUGAUUGGGAAGGAAGGGAUCGUCAUCAAUAAAAUUGCUUUACUAAGCAAGUUAUUGCUGGAGGUGACAAAACUUUGAUCCCACUAGAGCCUUUAAAAGCCAGUAUCGAACACACUGUUCAGUAAUGCCACUCAAAUGAGCAGUGCAUUUAUUUAUUCAUUCUUUAUCAGUCAUUUGGUUGGUAGUAUGUUAUUAAUUCCACAGUAAUUCUGACUUGCCACUUGCAUGGACAAAUUGGGUUCCAGCUGCCAGAAAAAUCCUUCAGGCAAAGGAUGCAGCUGCCACCAGUUGGAAUUCUAGGGGAUACUUGGUCUUUAUAAUUUCUGAGUACAUAAGCAUCUACUAUAUGUGCUUAAUACAAAUGAAUGCCAUUUUAAUGUACCUUAAAAUUUCUAAGCAAAUACAUGAAAAGCAAUGUCUAAUUUCUUGCUUAUUUUCAAGGUAUACAGAUAACUCUGUUAUAUUCAGAAAGAGCAGGGACCUGAAAAAAAAAAUCUGUGUUAAAGUCUCAUAUGAACUAAAAAGAAAAAGUAAUUUAUUCUUCUGCUACUUCUCUUUUCAGUAAGGGUGGUUGCCUUGUCUUGCUCAUUGCAAGAAUGAAAGCUGUAUAAGUUGAAUGAAAAUAUAAAUAUGACUUUGAAGGUGGGUAAGUCUUACCUUCCCUUCUAGCAGUCUCUGAAGUUGCUUGAACAAUGGCUUAUUUUAUUAUUAGUUGGGACUCUUUGGUUGCAAGUAAUGGAAGUAUACUUGAACUAGAUUAGCAAAAAUGUAAGGCUUGUUAUAACAUUGCACAAGCACAGAACUCGCUGCUGGCUGGUAAGAUAUAGGACUACUGCAUUAUGGGGAUUUUUGAAUUCUAAUCUACUAGAGGGACCAUUGUUUUAAAAGUUCUUUAGAAGUUAUUCUUGGAACUACUAUUUAUACACGAAAGAAUGUGGAUGGAUCUCAAAAGCAUUAUGGCAAAAGACAGAAACAAAAGGCUACAUAUUGUUUCAUUCCAUUCACCUAACAUUUUAAAAAGCACAAAACUAUAGCAGUAAAAAUGAAUCAGUGGUCCCCAGAGACUAGGGGUAAAGGAGCAACUAUAAAAAGGAGACUUUUGGGAUAAUGGAACUAUUUUAAAUAUUGACUAUGGUUGUGGUCACAAGACUGCAAAACUGUAUACAGUUAUUAAUAUUUAUAGAACAAUACACUUCAAAAUGGGGGAUUUUAUUGAAUGCAAAUUAUACCUCAAUAAACCUGAUUGCUUUUUAAAAUAUAUAUAUAUAUAUAAAUAUGAAAUAGAUUAUUUUUAGUAAGUGACUAGAAAAAGGGCAAGCAAAAUAAUCGGUAACUUAGUAGGCAGCAAAUUAUUGUUCAUUUAUUUAACUCAGGUUUUAGAAAGUCCAUUGUGAAGCUAGUAAAAGAUUGUGAUUUGAAUUAUUUCUCAAAUUAUAGAUGAUUUUUAAUGAAGACAACAGAUAUACCUAAUAAAUUAUUUUUAAUUGAUCCAUGGAUACUAUCUUAUCUUUAUUCACACUUAGAUAUAAGAAAACACUAAAGAUAGACUUAGCAUGUUUCUAAAAUUAAUUUCUCUAAUUUGCAACACAGCACAUAAUAGUCAUGAUAAUUAAGCCAACUGAUAUCAUAAUUUAUGAUUACUUCUUGUCAGAAACUGUGAUAUUAUUUCCAUUGAGUAGGAAGUGGGGAGUGGGGCAAUUAAACUUAGUGCUAGAAUUAUUCUCCUUUUAAGCAUAAUUCAUCAAAAUCAAGAGUGAGCUUCAAAAUGACCAGUAAUAAAAGUAGGAAGAGAGAUGAUUUUCUAUAAAGUGCAAUUUAUGGAUUCUGGAUUCACAGAGAAAAUAAACACAUAGUGAAUUAGGUAAAAAUAAAAGAGGUAAAAUAUCCUGCAUGUAUUCUAUUAACAAGAUCAAAAGAAAACAAAAUUUACAUUACCGUAGAGAUCUUUAUAGCACCCCGUUUGUUAAAUUGAUAUUGUUGUGUUAAAAAAUUGACACAGACAUAUUAAUGGCUACAAAGAAAGAAAUAAAGAACUCCUUCUCACUUUUAAAUAGAUUCUGGAUUCUAGAGGAUAGUCCACACUUUCUUGUGCAAUUGUUUAAAUGUUGAAAUUGCUGACAUUAAGUGUGUAUGCAUUUACAUGUUGAAAUGCCACACAAAGGGUUUAUUAAUUUACUCUUUUUAUAAGCAAUGUAAGUCCUUGGUCUCUACAGUCUUAUCAAUAUCAAGUAUUUUGUACAUUACUGAUUUUGCCAAUUUAGUAUAUGAAGAAAAAGCCCACAAUAUAAUCUUUAUUUUGUUCAGUGGUAAGCAAAGUUAAACAUAUGUUUUUUAAAAGUCCCAUUUUGCGUCUUGAUUUCAAAUCAUCUGGUCAUAUUCCCAAAUAUUUAUAUGUUGCAUUCUUUGAUUUUUAUUCAUUUAUGGAAAAGUUUCGGGGAUAAAGAAGGAUUAGUAUUUUCUGUGUUCCACAUGGCUGUUCUAGACCAUUGAAACUCCUGUCCACAUAGUGUCUUAUUUUUUUUAAUAGUUUCACAUAGAAAGUAUGUUAAUAUACAUGAUCUUUUAAUUAUUUCCACAUAAAAGGUAUUUAGAAUUUAUCAUUAUUAUCAUCAUUUCAACUUUAGACUUAAAUAAACUGAACCUCAAAGUGGUCAAUGACUUGACCGAGUCCCAAGUAGAAAUGAAGCUGAUUUUCUGGCUUCUUUCGUAUUUUUUCAAACUACAUAUAUUCAUUACAUUUAUUUUACUAACAAAGUAUUGCUUUAUCCUUUCUUAUGAACCAGCAUUUUUAUUGUUUUUUUAAUUAAAUUUAUUCUUAUUAAUAAAAAAACAAGUCAAUUCCUUGGAAAUUUUUGCCGAAACCUGUUUUACAUUUCAAUAUCUCCAUAAUUGGCCAUAGGCUUUAAUGACAUUGAACUCCUUCUUUCUCUGUUGCUUCAGGCUUGUCCAUAGAAGUAAAUAUUCGCAUGAUUUUAACUUUCCAAACUGGCCCGAAAUAAUUUGUCUUAACUAUUGUCAAAUUAUUACCCACUUUGUAAAGCUGUGUUCAGUUUCUUCUCCUCAAUGAAAACGUUCAUGGUCAUAUAAAAAUAUGAUUACAAUUUUUCUCACUCUCUGAGUUACCUUGUAUUUUAUAAUAUUUUCAUGUAAGAAAAUGAGCUGUCCAUUUUAAAUGUCCAUCAUAAUUCUUCAAAUAAUGUUUAUAAAAUUAUACUCACUGGCUAGUAAUAUGCAGUUUGGCAACAGAAUGAGACUAUAUACAAAUUAAUAAAGUCAGUUGUUGGUCACAGUUAACAAUAAUUUUUCAUAAGCUUGGAGUUGAGGAAAUUCAAAGGCACUCAGUAUUUUUUUAAAUUAAGAAUUGCAAGAAGAAAGAGACAGAAAAUGAGUAUGUUAUUCAAAAUGAAAAGAUCAAUGCAAUCAUCCAAACCCAGUUAAGACUGUGUAACAGUGCAAAACAAGGUGUUUCUAAUAUUUCUAGAAUAUCACUGUCUUUCCCUUAUAGUAGGCUCAAGAUUUCUUUAAAUGACGUAGGGAAAGUAACUUUCCAUCGGCAAGACAGAAAAUAGCUAUUGGGAGAUUAGGGUAGGAGACGGAAGGAAAGCAAAGGGAAGGGAAGGGGAGGGGAGGGGAGGGAAGGGGAGGGGAAGGAGAAUGGCAGGAAAGAACAAGAAAAGGAGGGAGAAAGAACUAAGAAAGGAAGAGAGGAAGGGAGGGGAGGAGAGAGAGAGGAAAAGAGGAUGAAAAAUGAGAGGUGGAAUAACAGCUAGACAGGAAAGGAGAAUGAGAAAAGUAAGACGCAAACAGGGAGAGCAAAAAUUAAAGUAACCUAGAUGUGGCAGUCAAGAGAUUGUGAAAGAUGUGUAUACAAAAGAGGGGCCAUACCACAGCAGUAACUUGACCACAGCAGUAACUCAAUGCAUGAUUUGUGUUCCUGUAUCUUUUAAUGGCACAAGUCCUGGGACCUUUGAUGAGGCUCUGUCUAAUCAUAGAAGGACUCUGCCACCAGAAUAACCUAGUUUGCAUAAACUUUCCUCGUGUUUUCUUUCACUCCGCUAUCCAGACUGUAGGGUGUGCCUUACAUUAUUUAGCUGAAUUGUCAACAGGUGUACUGAGUAAACUGUUUGAUUUAUAAAUAUCUCUGUAUCUAAUCAUGUAUCAAUUUCUCAAAUUAUGGUGUUUCACAUAUUGGUUUCUCUAAAGAUUAUUUCAUUUCACAAUUUGAGGCAGUUUUGUGAAAAGAAACAUAUACAUAUAUUUUAAUUUCUGCCUGAAAUAUACAACAUUGAAUUUCAUUCAAAUAUUUAAUGCCUUCACAAAUAAAACGUAGCUAGUGUUUCAUGUUGCUGUUUAGAAGUUUAUUGAAAUAUGGCAGAUAAAAUGCUAUAGAGAUAUUAUUAUGUUUAAUAAUUCAGUAGUUGCUUCAAAUAUGCUAUAAAGUGUUGGAAUAUGGCCAGUUAACUUUAAAAUAUAGAAUAAUAAAAUAAUUGGAUUUAAAAUUGCUUCAUAUUAUUUUUGUUUAAUAAAAAGACAAUCCAUGUCUUAGGUGUACCCUUUUAAAUCCUAUCUACUUUCUGAUUCUUAGGAUUCUUAAAAAGAAUAUUGUAAUGACUGAACAGAAAUAUUAUAUCUGAUUUUGUACUAGAAAAUUGAAGCAGCAUGGGAUCAUGGCUAAGUAAGAGCUUUAUAGCAGUAGCAAAUAGUUACAUGAUUACUGAAGUAUAGCUGUCACUGGAAAUAGAAAGCUGCAAGGAACCUAUCAUAAAAGUAGCAAUUUCAGUUUCACUAGUGUUUAAAAUUAAAGCCUAGUAAUUCAUUGUGGAUGUAUUUCCUCAAUGGUUUCAGGAAAGUAUCCUGCUUUCACUGAGCAUUUUCACUUUGUUCCUUAUGUGUUUCCUUUCAUAAUGAAAAAGUUGUAAUUUCAGAUUGGUAAAACAAUUGUUAGGACUUUGUGAACAAACACUCAAAAAGUUUUGUGUCAUGAAAUAAUGAUUAGUCAAUUGUAUUUAUUGUUAUAACACACUAUGUUAAAAAUUCACUGCCAGAUGAUCCACAUUAUGUUAGGUAAACCAAUUUAAUCAACAGUUUCCUCUUUUGACAUAUAAUUAGCUGAUGGAUGAAUUUAGAGGUGUAAAAAACCUUCAAAUAAAAGCGUUUAUGGAAAAAAAUAAUGGCUGUUUAUGGAGUUUUGCAUACAUGUGUUACUGUCUUAAGAAGCUGAAAUGAGA
rnacentral:lncRNA from 1 species